rnacentral:rRNA from 1 species
AUACGGAGGAUGCGAGCGUUAUCCGGGUUCAUUGGGUUUAAAGGGUGCGUAGGCGGAAUAAUAAGUCAGGGGUGAAAGUUUGCGGCUCAACCGUAAAAUUGCCUUUGAUACUGUUAUUCUUGAGUACACGCGAGGUAUGCGGAAUGUGAUGUGUAGCGGUGAAAUGCUUAGAUAUAUCACAGAACACCGAUUGCGAAGGCAGCAUACUAGAGUGUCACUGACGCUGAUGCGCGAAAGCGUGGGUAUCGAACAGGAUUAGAAACCCUAGUAGUCC